rnacentral:rRNA from 1 species
CGACCGGCGCACGGGUGAGUAACACGUAUCCAACCUGCCGUCUACUCUUGGACAGCCUUCUGAAAGGAAGAUUAAUACAAGAUGGCAUCAUGAGUCCGCAUGUUCACAUGAUUAAAGGUAUUCCGGUAGACGAUGGGGAUGCGUUCCAUUAGAUGGUAGGCGGGGUAACGGCCCACCUAGUCUUCGAUGGAUAGGGGUUCUGAGAGGAAGGUCCCCCACAUUGGAACUGAGACACGGUCCAAACUCCUACGGGAGGCAGCAUG